rnacentral:rRNA from 1 species
CAGAGGUCCCGAGCGUUGUUCGGAUUCACUGGGCGUAAAGGGUGCGUAGGUGGUGAGGUAAGUCGGAUGUGAAAUCUCCGGGCUCAACCCGGAAAUGGCAUUGGAAACUACCUUGCUGGAGGAUUUGAGGGGGGAUUGGAAUACUUGGUGUAGCAGUGAAAUGCGUAGAUAUCAAGUGGAACACCAGAGGCGAAGGCGAAUCCCUGGAAAAUACCUGACACUGAGGCACGAAAGCUAGGGGAGCAAACAGGAUUAGAUACCCUGGUAGUCCUAGCCCUAAACGGUGCUUGCUUGCUGUAAGAGGAAUCGACCCCUCUUGUGGCGGAGCUAACGCGUUAAGCAAGCCGCCUGGGAAGUACGGUCGCAAGAUUA